AUCCAGAUGACGAGUCCCAAAUAGGACGAAACGCGCGUCCUCGAU
rfam:Schistosoma rodhaini strain Burundi genome assembly, scaffold: SROB_scaffold0006233